GACGUAGGGGGCCAGCGUUGUUCGGAAUUACUGGGUGUAAAGGGUUCGUAGGCGGUGCGGCAAGUUGGGAGUGAAAUCUCUGGGCUUAACCCAGAGGCUGCUUCCAAAACUGCUGUGCUUGAGUGUGGGAGAGGCGCGUGGAAUUGCAGGUGUAGCGGUGAAAUGCGUAGAUAUCUGCAGGAACACCCGUGGCGAAAGCGGCGCGCUGGACCACUACUGACGCUGAGGAGCGAAAGCUAGGGGAGCAAACAGG
rnacentral:rRNA from 1 species